rnacentral:rRNA from 1 species
CCUACGGGAGACUGCAGUGGGGGAUAUUGCACAAUGGUCGAAACACUGAUGCAGCGACGCCGCGUGAGUGAAGAAGUAUUUCGGUAUGUAAAGCUCUAUCAGCAGGGAAGAAAAUGACAGUACCUGACCAAGCAUCCCCGGCUAACUACGUACCAGCAGCCGCGGUAAGACGUAGGGGGCAAGCGUUAUCCGGAUUUACUGGGGGUAAAGGGAGCGUAGACGGUUAUGUAAGUCUGGAGUGAAAGCCCGGGGCCCAACCCCGGGGCUGCUUUGGAAACUGGGUAACUGGAGUACAGGAGGGGCAGGCGGAAUUCGUGGUGUAGCGGUGAAAUGCGUAGAUAUCAGGAGGAACACCGGUGGCGAAGGCGGCCUGCUGGACUGAAACUGACGUUGAGGCUCGAAAGCGUGGGGAGCAAACAGGAUUAGAUACCCUAGUAGUC